UCUCUUUCCCGUGUCUUCAAGUCUCAAAACCCAAACCCCAAGUCUCUCGCUUUCUCUCGCGGAUCCUCCCCGAUACCCCACCGACGACCGACCGCCAAACUUGUGCCGUUGUCGUCGCGCUGCUGCUGUCCUACCUCGCCGGUUCACUUAGCCCUCGUCGGAUUUCCUCUCCACUGCGUCGUUGUCUCUGCCGUUUCAACUCGUUGCAGCUUUGUGUAGUGCUCGUGUUCUUCCUCUCUGGCCUCUGUUUGCCGUCGCCGUUAUUGUGGUUAUUGUUGUUGUUUAUUUGGUGGUGUUGUUCGUGGCCAGUGGUGUUGCGCACCGCUGCUGCCGUGCCUUGCAGCCUCGCCGGAGCUUCGCUGAUGUGCACUGGAGCUUCGAAAUUCCCCCUCUAUGUUCUUGGCGUCGCUGCUCUUGUGAGCAGAGUUGUUGUUGCUGUUGCCGCUUGUUUCCUCCCUCUUCUCUGUUUCUUGUUGUGUGCUGUCGUUAUUGUUGGUAUAUUAAAUUCUUGGAGUAGUAGUUAUUGGUUUUGUUCAGGUUUGGUGGUGGAGGUGUAGGUGGUGCUGUUAUUAUAAUUGUUAUUGGUGGUGAUGCGUUGUUGUAUUGGUGUUGUUGUGCCAUUUUGGGUGGUUGUUGUCUGUUGUAGUGGUUGUUAGUGCGUUGUUGCUAGUUAUAAUUAUGGAUUAAGGAUUAUGCAAAUGGGAUGUUAAAGGUCGAUAAUUUCCGAAUUGGGAAUUAGUUGUGAUUAUGAUUUCUAUUUUAGAUUAGUUUAAGUUUGGUUAUUGAAUAUCAUUAUAAUUGUGAGGUGAUUCUCGGAGGAUGAUCAUGGAGUGGAGUAUUAUUCGGAGAUUAAGGAAUUGGAUUGCGAUUCAGGUUUGAUAUACAGAGCUCGGAAUUCGAAGUGGAUCAAGAUUAAGGUGUCAUAGUGGCUUAAGGAUUAAGCUUGUAUUUUAGAUAGUCGGUUUGAGAAUAGUUAUUUAGAUUGCGUUGUACAUAAUAUUUGGGAAUUUUAGUCAAGUAUUGGUGUAUUUGAGGAUAUUUUUCCGCUGCGAUUUUAUUAAUUAAGAGUUAGUUGUUGUUUAUGGA